rnacentral:rRNA from 1 species
GGAGGGGGCUAGCGUUGUUCGGAAAUACUGGGCGUAAAGCGCACGUAGGCGGCUCUGCAAGUCAGAGGUGAAAUCCCAGGGCUCAACCCUGGAACUGCCUUUGAAACUGCUAGGCUAGAAUCAUGGAGAGGUCAGUGGAAUUCCGAGUGUAGAGGUGAAAUUCGUAGAUAUUCGGAAGAACACCAGUGGCGAAGGCGACUGACUGGACAUGCAUUGACGCUGAGGUGCGAAAGCGUGGGGAGCAAACAGGAUUAGAUAUCCUGGUAGUCCACGCCGUAAACGAUGAUAACUAGCUGUUGGGGUUCACAGAACUUCAGUGGCGCASSUAACGCGUUAAGUUAUCCGCCUGGGGAGUACGGUCGCAAGAUUA